CAGCGAUCGCACCAGGAAGCAGUUUGAUUUACGCGUCACCUUAAAAGAAGAUUCCACCAUGGCCUCUCAGCUGAUCCUCCUUAUGCUGCUUAUCAUUAUUGCAAUCAUGGGUGUCUACUUCAUUUUGAGAUGUGCAAUACGUGAAUUCUAUGCUGCCCACCCGCUUUGGUGUUUGUUGAUAUUAGGUCCACCUUUGAUUGGUUUCAGUCUGUUCCUCAUCAUGAACUUCCACUCCUUAAUCCAUUAUGAUCUGUGACCAAUUAUAAGGUCAGAAAAUCAGAGGAUGAAGAAAGAGUGAAACUACUGGUCACUGGAAGCAAUACUGCAUGAUCAAUUAUUUAAUCAUUUGUU